GUAUUCUUACUUUUCAGAAUAUUCUUAUGAAACAUUGCUACUUCCACUAACACUGCUCUUUUACCUUUGCUUUUUAGGUGAAGAAGAGUCUGUGACUGGGAAUAAUGCAAAAUAAUUUUACUUUUGAGAGACUCUAAACUCUUCAAACCAUUGUUAUAACAGAUGAUGCUUGGCAUUGCCAAUCAUUCUAUCUUCCUUUUACUUGUGAUUUUGUUCAUUCUGCCUUAGCUACUGGAAGCAAAUCAGACAUCUCAGUACUGAAGACAUUUCUGUAACUUGA
rnacentral:lncRNA from 1 species